rnacentral:rRNA from 3 species
UAAACGACUCUCGGCAACGGAUAUCUCGGCUCUCGCAUCGAUGAAGAACGUAGCGAAAUGCGAUACUUGGUGUGAAUUGCAGAAUCCCGUGAACCAUCGAGUCUUUGAACGCAAGUUGCGCCCGAGGCCUCCUGGUCGAGGGCACGUCUGCCUGGGUGUCACGC